GUCCUCGUGAUAUGGUGCGAGGUCUGGCCUGCCCACUGAAGGUAUUUAAAGGGCCGCGGUAUACUAACCGUGCGAAGGUAGCAUAGUCAAUAGUCUUUUAAUUGGAGGCUUGAAUGAAUGGUCGGACAUAAGGAGAGCUGUCUGCAGCUAUGGGAUGUGAAUUUAACUUUUGUGUGAAAAGGCAUUAAUAUUUUAAAGGGACGAUAAGACCCUAUAAAACUUUACGUUUAAUCUAAGCUUUAUAAUUUGGGAUUAACGGAGGGCUUAGUGAAUUUGUUGUGCUGGGGCGGCUAGAAUAUAAUUUUGUAACUGUUCUCUACAUUUAAUAGUAGUUAUUAGAUUUUGAUCCUGAAUUUUGGGUUAAAAGAUUAAGUUACUUUAGGGAUAACAGCGUUAUUUCCCUUGAGAGUUCAUAUCGACAGGGAUGUUUGCGACCUCGAUGUUGAAUUAAAAUUUUCUCCGGGAGCAGAGAUUCGGGUGAUAGGUCUGUUCGACCUUUAAAAUUUUACA
rnacentral:rRNA from 1 species